rnacentral:rRNA from 1 species
AUUGAACGCUGGCGGAAUGCUUUACACAUGCAAGUCGAACGGCAGCACGGGGGCAACCCUGGUGGCGAGUGGCGAACGGGUGAGUAAUACAUCGGAACGUGCCCAGUCGUGGGGGAUAACGUAGCGAAAGCUACGCUAAUACCGCAUACGAUCUCUGGAUGAAAGCGGGGGACCGCAAGGCCUCGCGCGAUUGGAGCGGCCGAUGGCAGAUUAGGUAGUUGGUGGGGUAAAGGCUCACCAAGCCGACGAUCUGUAGCUGGUCUGAGAGGACGACCAGCCACACUGGGACUGAGACACGGCCCAGACUCCUACGGGAGGCAGCAGUGGGGAAUUUUGGACAAUGGGCGCAAGCCUGAUCCAGCCAUUCCGCGUGCAGGAUGAAGGCCCUCGGGUUGUAAACUGUCUUUUGUACGGAACGAAAGGUGCCGGUUAAUACCUGGCGCUGAUGACGGUACCGUAAGAAUAAG